rnacentral:rRNA from 1 species
AACGAACGCUGGCGGCAUGCCUAACACAUGCAAGUCGAACGAGACCUACGGGUCUAGUGGCGCACGGGUGCGUAACGCGUGGGAACCUGCCCUUAGGUUCGGAAUAACUCCCCGAAAGGGGUGCUAAUACCGGAUAAUGUCUUCGGACCAAAGAUUUAUCGCCUUUGGAUGGGCCCGCGUUGGAUUAGCUAGUUGGUAGGGUAAAAGCCUACCAAGGCGACGAUCCAUAGCUGGUCUGAGAGGAUGAUCAGCCACACUGGGACUGAGACACGGCCCAGACUCCUACGGGAGGCAGCAGUGGGGAAUAUUGGACAAUGGGCGAAAGCCUGAUCCAGCAAUGCCGCGUGAGUGAUGAAGGCCUUAGGGUUGUAAAGCUCUUUUACCCGGGAUGAUAAUGACAGUACCGGGAGAAUAAGCCCCGGCUAACUCCGUG